GACUGUCUAGUAGGUCUCCUACUCCUACAGCUACUAGGGUGGCUCCUAGCUCUGGGACAAUUGCUAAGAAAAGAAAGGUUACUCAGCCUCAAGUAAGGGGUCCCAUGGAUGCUCAUGUUAGACGGACUCCUGAGCAAGUAGUCAAUGAGAGGCAUAAUAGUAGUUCUACUCAGACUACUAUAGAGAACCGUUUUAGGACACCAGAACAAAAAGCCAG